UACGAAGGGGGCGAGCGUUGUUCGGAAUCACUGGGCGUAAAGGGCGCGUAGGCGGCCCUCUUAGUCGCGUGUGAAAGCCCCGGGCUCAACCUGGGAACGGCGCGCGAAACGGGAGGGCUGGAGUUCGGGAGAGGAGAGUGGAAUUCCCAGUGUAGAGGUGAAAUUCGUAGAUAUCGGGAGGAACACCAGUGGCGAAGGCGGCGAUCUGGGCUGAUACUGACGCUGAGGUGCGAAAGCGUGGGGAGCAAACAGG
rnacentral:rRNA from 1 species